CCCGGGCCCAGGUGAAUGGAGGAACCUGACAUUUGGGGGAAGUGAGGCGGCGGCGGAGGGGAAAUGGCGGCGGCGGCUGGAGCAGCAGAACAAUGAGACGCGGCCUGUAGUGCGGGGAAGCGCCGGGCUGGGUCCCGUCCGAUCAGGUUACCUAGGGUGAAACAAAAUUGCAGGCUUGGAGACUCUGGAAAAGCUCAGCAUCAGCAUUUGAGAGCCGAAGCUUGCAAAUUAUGUGAUAAAUCUACAAGCUGAUAUCAUGAUGUCAAAGUGCAGUUCGGGAAGCAUAAACACAGAGACUGCGGAAAUUAAAACGGCUGUGCUGGAACAAAAAUGCAAUGA
rnacentral:lncRNA from 14 species